rnacentral:lncRNA from 1 species
CAUAUUAGACAUCAGCUACUUGAGUUGGCAAGGGGAUUCACAAAUCAAGUUCAGGGUAGAGGUCAGAACUGCAGAUACAAAUUUGAAAGUCAUCAGCAUAGGUAUGAGCUUUAAAACCACUUGAGGGACCAGUGUAAAUUACAGAUGAGAAGCGCAAGCUCUGAGCAAAGAAAAUUGGUAAAAAGAAAGAAAAUUGGACUGCUUGUGUAUGUGUGUGUGUGUGUGUGUGUGUGAGGGUGGGAAGGGAUGUGUGUGUGUGUGUGGCAGCUAGCUAUGAUUCAUAUUGGUAUUGUGACAGAAAACUCGUCUUUAAGUGGAGUUUGGUCAUCAUUUCUUUCAGAGCCUUUCUUGAUAGUCGCUAGUACUCCAGAUUAGAGGCUACUUUAUGAUUCAUAAAAAGCUUCCUAGUGUCAACUGCACCCUUCCCAGUACAUGACACUCCUGACUUGGAGUUUGAUAAGGCUAUGCAUUUCUCUCCUUCCAGCUCCGAUGGGGUGUUUAAGAAUGAGAGCAAGUUUCUUCAGUGUUGUCGGCCCCUAUCUCUCCCAUGGCCUGCCCUCGUCUCACCUCUCACCCCUCCAAAUCAAGGCAUGUCUGAGCUCGGUCUGCCCAGGACUGUUGAUGAGCUUUCGCUUCUGCUUUGUUUCUGAACUAACAUGUGUUCUUCAGAACGGCUCGCACGGCCCCGUGGGAUUAUGACAGCUCUCAGCCGAGCUCUGCCAGCUAUUAAUAGAAAUACUAUGAGGUGAGUUUGAAAGUCAGGAUGGAAGCCUCCUAAUGCUUGUUGCCACAGUGGCCAGUUGAUGUCACUCCCAGACUUAGGGAGAAAGUAAACAUGCAGCUUGAUCGCAUGUUUGCAUGCGUGCUCAGUCGUGUCUGACUUCUGUGACCCCGUGGACUGUAUCCCGCCAGGCUCCUCUGUCC